UGGAUCCAGACUUUGAUCCUGGCUCAGGACGAACGCUGGCGGCGCGCCUAACACAUGCAAGUCGAACGAGCGAGAGAGAGCUUGCUUUCUCGAGCGAGUGGCGAACGGGUGAGUAACGCGUGAGGAACCUGCCUCAAAGAGGGGGACAACAGUUGGAAACGACUGCUAAUACCGCAUAAGCCCACGGGUCGGCAUCGACCAGAGGGAAAAGGAGCAAUCCGCUUUGAGAUGGCCUCGCGUCCGAUUAGCUAGUUGGUGAGGUAACGGCCCACCAAGGCAACGAUCGGUAGCCGGACUGAGAGGUUGAACGGCCACAUUGGGACUGAGACACGGCCCAGACUCCUACGGGAGGCAGCAGUGGGGAAUAUUGCACAAUGGGGGAAACCCUGAUGCAGCGACGCCGCGUGGAGGAAGAAGGUCUUCGGAUUGUAAACUCCUGUUGUUGAGGAAGAUAAUGACGGUACUCAACAAGGAAGUGACGGCUAACUACGUGCCGGCAGCCGCGGUAAAACGUAGGUCACAAGCGUUGUCCGGAAUUACUGGGUGUAAAGGGAGCGCAGGAGGGAAGACAAGUUGGAAGUGAAAUCUAUGGGCUCAACCCAUAAACUGCUUUCAAAACUGUUUUUCUUGAGUAGUGCAGAGGUAGGCGGAAUUCCCGGUGUAGCGGUGGAAUGCGUAGAUAUCGGGAGGAACACCAGUGGCGAAGGCGGCCUACUGGGCACCAACUGACGCUGAGGCUCGAAAGUGUGGGUAGCAAACAGGAUUAGAUACCCUGGUAGUCCACACCGUAAACGAUGAUUACUAGGUGUUGGAGGAUUGACCCCUUCAGUGCCGCAGUUAACACAAUAAGUAAUCCACCUGGGGAGUACGACCGCAAGGUUGCAACUCAAAGGAAUUGACGGA
rnacentral:rRNA from 1 species